rnacentral:rRNA from 1 species
GAUGAACACUGGCGGCAGGCCUAACACAUGCAAGUCGAACGGUAGCACAGAGAGCUUGCUCUCGGGUGACGAGUGGCGGACGGGUGAGUAAUGUCGGGGAAACUGCCCGAUGGAGGGGGAUAACUACUGGAAACGGUAGCUAAUACCGCAUAACGUCUUCGGACCAAAGUGGGGGACCUUCGGGCCUCACACCAUCGGAUGUGCCCAGAUGGGAUUAGCUAGUAGGUGGGGUAAUGGCUCACCUAGGCGAUGAUCUCUAGCUGGUCUGAGAGGAUGACCAGCCACACUGGGACUGAGACACGGCCCAGACUCCUACGGGAGGCAGCAGUGGGGAAUAUUGGACAAUGGGCGCAAGCCUGAUCCAGCAAUACCGCGUGUGUGAAGAAGGCCUUCGGGUUGUAAAGCACUUUCAGAGGGGAGGAAAUGCUCUUUCAUAAUACGAAAGAGAGCAGACGUUACCCUCAGAAGAAGCACCGGCUAACUCUGUGCCAGCCGCCGCCGUAA